rnacentral:rRNA from 1 species
GACGAACGCUGGCGGCGUGCUUAACACAUGCAAGUCGAACGGAAAGGCCCUGCUUUUGUGGGGUGCUCGAGUGGCGAACGGGUGAGUAACGCGUGAGUAACCUGCCCUUGACUUUGGGAUAACUUCAGGAAACUGGGGCUAAUACCGGAUAGGAGCUCCUGCUGCAUGGUGGGGGUUGGAAAGUUUCGGCGGUUGGGGAUGGACUCGCGGCUUAUCAGCUUGUUGGUGGGGUAGUGGCUUACCAAGGCUUUGACGGGUAGCCGGCCUGAGAGGGUGACCGGCCACAUUGGGACUGAGAUACGGCCCAGACUCCUACGGGAGGCAGCAGUGGGGAAUAUUGCACAAUGGGCGGAAGCCUGAUGCAGCAACGCCGCGUGCGGGAUGACGGCCUUCGGGUGGUAAACCGCUUUCGCCUGUGACGAAGCGUGAGUGACGGUAAUGGGGAAAGAAACACCGGCUAACUACGU